rnacentral:rRNA from 1 species
CUGGCUCAGGAUGAACGCUAGCUACAGGCUUAACACAUGCAAGUCGAGGGGCAGCAGAUCGAUAGCUUGCUAUUGAUGCUGGCGACCGGCGCACGGGUGAGUAACGCGUAUCCAACCUUCCCCUUAGUAGGGGAUAGCCCGGCGAAAGUCGGAUUAAUACCCUAUGUUAUUCGUCGAGGACAUCUGAAAUGAAUCAAAGGUUUACCGCUAAGGGAUGGGGAUGUGUCUGAUUAGGUAGUCGGCGGGGUAACGGCCCACCGAGCCGUCGAUCAGUAGGGGUUCUGAGAGGAAGGUCCCCCACAUUGGAACUGAGACACGGUCCAAACUCCUACGGGAGGCAGCAGUGAGGAAUAUUGGUCAAUGGGCGAGAGCCUGAACCAGCCAAGUAAGCGUGCAGGAUGACGGCCCUAUGGGUUGUAAACUGCUUUUAUCGGGGGAUAAAGUGACCCACGUGUGGGUGUUUGUAGGUACCCGAUGAAUAAGGACCGGCUAAUUCCGUGCCAGCCGCAGC